AUGGAUCAACUAUACAACUUACUGUACAUAGUGAGAUACAUACCACUGAUUCUCACUCUAGUUACAGGCAGUUUUGCAGAUAAAAUUUGGCCAACAAAUGAAGAUACCAUCGUUAGGAAGGAAACAGGCACUCUUACUAUGAAAUGUUCAUAUGAGUCAAGCAGUGAAAAUAUUUGGCUUUACUGGUACAAACAAUAUCCCAACAGUGCACCACAGUUUUUACUGUAUAAAGGUGCAAGUUCAUACAGUUCUGGGAGCACUCCUACUGAUACUCGAUUAGAAACAAAAACAAGCAGAGACUCUACUGAACUUACUAUCAGAGGACUAAAGCUCUCAGAUUCUGCACUCUAUCAUUGUGCUCUU